rnacentral:misc_RNA from 1 species
CUAAGGAAACCAAUAAAAUCAAUCAUCUUCAGUUUUGAAAGACUUAGGCAACUAAGUUUUUCUUCGUGACUUCACGAAGGGCCUAUAGCUCAGUUGGUUAGAGCACACGCCUGAUAAGCGUGAGGGCGGUGGUUCAAGUCCAUUUAGGCCCACCAGAGUUAUAGGUUUCGUAAGAACACAAAUUCUUUGAAAAUUAGGGAAAUAAUAGUUAUUUAGAAGUCAUAU